UAAUAGUAAAAGAAUAUGCCUCUUCCUUUUUCCCUUUAUUUAAUAGGGUUCUUUGGCAUAGUUUUAACAAUAUAAGUAAUAGAUAAAUCAAUACAAUAAAACUUCAAUGUGUUGCUCUCCUUGCUUGACACAUCAGAUUUUGUAUUGAAGGAGAAAAUGACACAUCAAUUAAAAUGGCUAGCCUAUCAAAUUAAAACAAUUAAUACAUGUCAGCUUUUUUUUUCUUAUGUGGACAAAGCAAAUUGAAAACGAUAGCGUUUAAUCUAUUGCUCGAUUUCUUUUCUUCAUCGCCGUGAUACAAUUUUCUUCUUCGGCGCCUUUUAACCUUCGACCGACUGUGCUAUUUAUACCAUGGCUGGGAGCAUCACCACCGUCGGAUUCAAAGCUAUUCUCGUCGGAGCUACUAAAACUGUGUCGCAUCGAGAUUCUCGUCUCAACGUCGAUUGUCGUAGAGCUUCUCCAAAUCAAAGACAUAGAUUUAUGUGCUGUAUAUUUCUCCUCUCCGAUUCUGGGUAAGUGAAUCUUCCAUCCUUUCUUUCCAGAUUCAGAUCGAGUAAUUGAUCAAUCUAAAAUUUUGAACUUAAUUCAUCUGGUUUUUUUGUAACUUUGUGAAGUUUUAGUUCCUUUGUAGAGUUACAGCUUGAUCAUUUUGGUGGACUAUUAUCAUACAUGUUUGUGAUUAAAGUUGAAAGUCUGUAUGAGAGUUAUCUUGUGUGGUAAAAAGCUGUGUAACAUUUGAACAUGUAGAGAUGAUAAGGUAAUGUGUAGAGAACAUAAUUUUGGUUGUGGUGGAUUUCUUCUUCUUGAUCCACCAGAAUCUAUUCAUCAGAUCCGACGAUGUACGGUUACGACCAUAACACAUGUAUAUAACUAUAAGCGUGUGUGAUGAUGUAAUAAGAAUUAUCCAGGCAAGAUUCGCGAUGCAUCCUUCUUUAAUGUCUUGUCAAGGUUAAAUUUCUACAUCUCUUAUAUUUCCAGAUGAAUUGCUUCUUCUUUAGUUACUCUGCUUGCUUCUUCAUUCUUCAACCUCGUGGAUUUUUCCAGGUUCAUUGCAUUGAUAUUGGACCUGAUUACUCCCUCCCAUGGGCCAUGGCAGAAGGAAAGACAAUUUACUGACACUAUAAGGCAAAUUUUUUAAUGACAAAUUCCACUUUUAUCGCUUACAGGUUGUUUCAUGAGUCAAUCACAUCUUCUACAAUUGAACUGCUUUUAUGAUAGGAGAUGGAAAGCACUUGACAAAUGUCAAUUGUAUGGAUCAUGAUACAUAUGUUUACUUUUCUUCUUGGAUUCUAUAUGUAUCAGCUAUGAUCAAUUCCUCUCAAAAUCAUCUUGUUAAGAGAUCAAUUUUUGAUAAGCGAUAAGAUAAACGAAGAAAAUAGAAAAUAUUGUACGUAGCUAAUGUUUUGUAACUAUGAUAUUAACUUGCCGAUUUCUCUACAUACGUGUGAGUUUAAGAUCUUCUACUUUAAGUUAGUAGCAUGUGCUUCUAUUCAUCAAUAUGCUGACCCUAGCUGCGAGGAUUUUAAUUUUUUAUUUCUUUGAUUAGUUCAACACUUCAACUAAACAUGUACUUAUCUAAAUACAGUUGAAGAUCUUCUCUCUCACUUGUGGUGCACAGGUUUUAUUUAAGAAUGUGGACGGACUGUGACAUAGUUUUGCUUUCAGUAGAAAUCAAGGAUGUUAAGAAAUGUGUUUAAAUGGACACAGGUCCAUAUAAAACCAACAAAAAAAAUGAAAAGAGGCUUAUUACGGUCACAAAUUUUCAAAGGCAAUAUUGAUUAUUUUGAACAUGUGUUGACGAGUUUACAACUAAUCAAAACUAUAUGUAGAUAAUUAAAUUUAAAACUACAAAAAAACACCUCAAAAUUAAACUAGACCAAUAUAUCUCCCACAACAAGCUAUACGAAAAAAACAUCCCAAAACACAUAGAAUACAUUAGUUAAUUGUAAAAUUAUCGACUCAAAUGUAAACGCUUAUAAUAACAAAUAUUACGGAAUUACAAAUCAUUGUAGGUUUGUCUUUAUUUUAUUGUUUCAUUGCAUUUCUAUAUCUUAUCAUUUUCAAAACCAUAAUUUUCAUAGUUAAUCUAAUUUCAAAAAAUAAAAAAUUAUAUUUUUAACAUCAA